UUAGUGGCGGACGGGUGAGUAACGCGUGGAUAACCUGCCGUAUACCGGGGGAUAACACUUAGAAAUAGGUGCUAAUACCGCAUAAGCGCACGGCUCCGCAUGGGGCAGUGUAGAAAAAUUCCGGUGGUAUACGAUGGAUCCGCGUCUGAUUAGCUAGUUGGGCGGGGUAACGGCCCACCAAGGCAGCGAUCAGUAGCCGGCCUGAGAGGGUGGACGGCCACAUUGGGACUGAGACACGGCCCAAACUCCUACGGGAGGCAGCAG
rnacentral:rRNA from 1 species